CAAGCAUACAACCAGGCCA
rnacentral:siRNA from 1 species